AUGGCAGGAUAUAUAGGGAAAAUAGAGCCGUUUGAUGAUAGUACAGAAACGUGGAGUUCGUACGUUGAAAGACUGGAACAAUAUUUUGCAGUGAACGCACUUGAAAAUGAGAAGAAGGUUCCAGCUUUAUUGACAUUAUUAGGUGGGAAAACCUAUGGACUUCUUAGAAAUUUGACUUUACCGGAUAAACCCGCAACUAAAUCGUAUGACGAUAUUGUAAAGUUAUUGAAAGACCAUUUAAGUCCGAAACCAUUGAUUGUCGCAGAGAGAUUUCGUUUUUAUAAACGUUAUCAAAUACAAGGAGAAACUGUAAAUAAAUAUGUAGCAGAACUUAGAAAGUUUGCCGAAUAUUGUGAAUUUGGGAACUUAAAUGAAUCUUUAAGAGACCAGUUUGUGGUUGGACUUAAAGAUGAACAGACACAAAAGAAACUGUUAACUGUGCCGGACUUAACUUUUGUGAAAGCUAUCGGAAUUGCUAUAGCCGUAGAGACUGCAAACAAAGAUGCAAUUGAGUUAAGAGGGAAAUUCAACACCGAAAGUUCUGUAAACAGGAUACAACGACAGCAACGUAGACCGCCACCAAGUACAACAGAUAGACAUAAAUCGUUCGUAUGCUACCGAUGUAAUGGAAAGAAUCACAAAGCAGAUACAUGUAGAUUUAAAGACGCGGUGUGUCACAGCUGUAAUAAAAAAGGGCACAUUCGUAAAGCGUGUAGAUCAUCCGGUAAACCGAAACAAAGACCGGCGCAAAAGAAUGUUAAUUCCUUGGAUAAUCAAUCACGGGAAUACACAAGUGAUGAGGAUGAUUACUUAGGAAUUCACAGUGUUAAAAAUUCCAAUCAGGAUUCAAUUUGGAUUACGCCAAAUGUGCAUGGAAAAGAAAUUAGAAUGGAGCUGGAUACAGGUUCAGCCGUGUCAGUAAUUUCUGCUCUGGAUUACGACAAGUAUUUUCAAAAUGAAAAACUUGAAAGUGCAAAUGUCACCCUGAAAACGUAUUCAGGAGAGUUGUUAAUUCCAACUGGAUAUAUGAAUGUGCAAGUUAAAUAUAAUGGUCAAUGUGAAAAUCUUAAAUUGUAUGUAGUGCAAAAAGGUGGCCCUGCAUUGUUUGGGCGUGAUUGGUUAAGGAAAAUCAAUUUAGAUUGGAAAAAUCUCAAGUGGAUUAAUAAAAUUUCAGUGUCAAGAAAUUCAAAUGAAAAGCUGGAUUUAUUACUGAAGGAGUAUUCAAAUGUAUUCCGUGAGGGAAUAGGGUGUGUUGCAGAUAUAAAAGCACAUCUCACGUUAAAAGAAAAUGCUUCACCGAAAUUUGUAAAAGCUAGACCGGUGCCAUUUUCAGUCAAACCGCAAGUGGAGCGAGAGCUAAUAAGGCUUGAAAAGGAAGGAAUAAUUUCAAAAGUCGACACAAGUGAAUGGGCAUCACCAAUUGUCCCCGUUAUGAAAUCAAAUGGUACAAUUCGUAUAUGUGGAGAUUUCAAAACCACCGUGAAUCCUAUGCUUAAUGUGGAUCAGUACCCGCUUCCGCGGACCGAUGAGAUAUUCGCUACUCUCGCAGGAGGACAGAAAUACACGAAACUGGAUCUCCGUAAUGCAUAUUUACAUAUGGAGGUAGACGAUGAGUCAAAACCAUUGAUGACAAUCAAUACACACAAAGGACUGUAUCGUUAUAAUAGGAUGUUAUUCGGAAUUGCGUCAGCACCAGCUAUAUGGCAAAGAACAAUGGACCAGGUAUUAAAUGGACUUGAUAGUGUACAAUGCAUGUUGGACGACAUGAUUAUAACGGGCCCUGAUGACGAAACACACUUACAAAACUUGAAAAAUGUGUUACAGAGACUUCAGAACUAUGGUUUAAGGGCAAACUUGCAGAAAUGUUCUUUCCUCAAGGACAAAGUCAUAUACUGCGGACAUGAAAUUAGUGCAGAUGGACUCAGGAAAACUACAGACAAAGUACAAGCUGUAAUGGAAACUCCGACUCCGAAAAAUGUAAAGGAUGUACGUGCAUUCUUAGGACUGAUAAACUAUUAUCACAGAUUUAUGCCUAAUUCAGCAACUGUACUUAAACCAUUGAAUCAACUGCUAGAAAAAGAGCGAAUAUGGCGCUGGACAGACGAUUGUGAAAAGGCCUUCAAAAAGGCAAAGGAGCUUAUUACGUCAGACCAAGUGUUAACACACUACAACCCCGAAUUACCAGUCCGUUUAGCGUGUGAUGCUUCGCCAUUCGGACUUGGAGCAGUGUUAUCUCACGUUAUGCCAGAUGGAUCGGAAAGACCAAUUUCUUUCGCAUCGAGGAGUCUUACAAAAUCCGAAAAGAACUAUGCACAAAUCCAAAAGGAGGCGCUUGGAAUAGUGUGGGGAGUGAAGAAAUUUAACACAUUUCUGUACGGUAGGAAAUUUUCUUUAAUUACUGAUCAUCAACCUUUAACAGCAAUUUUUAAUCCUGAAAAAUCAAUUCCUGUAACUACCGCCGCUAGGUUACAGCGUUAUGCUAUUUUUCUCUCUGGAUUUACAUACAACAUCGAAUACAAAAAUACAAAGAAACACAAUAAUGCAGACGCAUUAUCGCGACUACCGAUGCAAAGUGACAUGAACAUUAACAGUGAAGACGCAGAUGAUCUUUUUCACGUGUUACAAAUUGAGGACCUUCCAAUUACGAGCGCCGAAAUUCAACGUGAAACUCGAAAAGAAAAGGUAUUAGCAUCAGUUUUGUACCAAGCAAUGAACGGAUGGGAAAUAACGGACGAUUCGUUAAUGAAACCUUAUUUCACUCGCAGAAAUGAAUUAACUGUUAGUCAUGGUUGCCUUCUGUGGGGAAUAAGAGUCAUAAUUCCGAUUAAAUUCAGGAAUCGAAUUCUAGAAUUACUUCAUAGUAGUCACCCGGGAGUGGUGAAAAUGAAGGCGUUGGCCAGAGGACAUGUCUGGUGGCCCGGUAUAGACAGUGACAUUGAACAUUUAGUCAAAAGCUGCACUGGAUGCCAGAUAAAUCAGCACGCACCAGCACUAACACCGUUACACCCAUGGGAAUGGCCCGAGACACCAUGGCAACGAGUCCAUAUAGACUACGCAGGACCGUUUAUAAACAGAAUGUUUUUUGUUAUGGUGGACGCGCAUAGCAAGUGGCCUGAGGUUUUCGAAAUGAAAUCGAUUACAGCAACAAAAACAAUUGACAUUAUGAGACAAGUAUUUGCUAGAAAUGGAGUACCUGCUCAUAUUGUAUCGGAUAAUGGACCAAGUUUUGCAUCCGCAGAAUUCGCAGAAUUCUUGAGACAAAAUGGAAUAAAACACACGAAGUCAGCACCCUAUCAUCCAGCAACAAAUGGACUUGUUGAGAGAUUUAUUCAAACAUUUAAACAGUCAAUGAAAGCAAUGAAAUGGGAAUCUGGUGAUGUAAACAAAAAGAUCGCAAACUUCUUGCUGACGUAUCGCCAGACACCACACACUAUUCCCAUGAAACACCAUCAAAACUGUUUCUAG
rnacentral:sRNA from 1 species